UUCAGAUUGGCAGCAAUAACUAAUAUACAUUUCUAAGUUUUGCUGCUAUAAUUCAGAGUAUGGAUUCAAAUGAAAGACUUUGACUUUGCAAUUCACAAGUUAAAAGCAAGCAUUUGUAGCAAUUCUUAAUAUUAUUAAGAAUUAUGAAAAACAUGAAGUUUCCCUUUCCAGGGAGCCCAAACAAAUUCUAUUUAUUUCUAGUGAGGCUGUAUUUUUGGAAGAUAAUCCCAGAUUGAAGCAAGUAAUUUUCACUUUUCAGCUUCAAGAUCCCGAAAGGUAUUUGAUAAUAUGAUAUCUCACCAUGCUUUUUAGGGUAGAAUGUUCUUCAGGAAUCCUGUGGUAGUCCUUUCUGCAAUUUAUUUAUAAUGUAUUACUCAUCUAUCUCCAAAAAGGAAUUGAGUUGGCUUGUUGAUAAUAAUAUAGCUAGAGGCUCCUUAUUGUAUGAUUCUAGAAAUUGCCAGGGAAAGUACCCACAGUUUGCUUAGUUUUUAUUUCACAUAAGAAUAAACCAGGAGCUGGAAUGGAAAACUAGAUCUGAUUUACUGUGAUCUACUACAGAGUAAAUUGCUGAGCUAGAAUGCCAAGAGGCAUGAUGGAUACUGAUUUUUCUCUCAUUUAUUCUACCCCCUGCCCAUCUGCUUUAGUUCCUCAUCUUCAGUUGCUAAAAUGAAAAUGUAUUUAAUUGCUCUUUCAAGGACUCAUACAUUCCAUUUUAUGUUUCUGUGUACAAAGGUCUAUUAUUAUCCCAUGUCUUAUGGUCUUUGUGUUUGCUUUUGGGAGAACCAAGUUACAAGCACAUUUCCAUAAGUGAAAGAACAGUUUGCUCAAUGUGGUGUGCAAAUCACUGAGACUCUCCCACAAUGACUAAAAAAUUUAUCCAGAAUCAAAGUGACAGUUACUGCUCCACACACUGGUCCCCUGGAUCUGUGCUAAGAAGGUAAAAUGGAUUCUUAGAGGAGAAGAAAUAAAUGAAUAAAAGACUGACUUCAUUAAUGCUGAAUAUAUCAGCUUAAUGAAACAGGAUUAACAAAUACCUCAUAAAGUUGAAACUGAAGAAUGGAAUCAGAAUUGAGGCUUUUCCUUGAAGCAUUUCAACAGCAUAUUACCUUACAAGUGCACUGCCCAGUUUGAUCACUACAAGAGCAUUUUCCAGUCUCUGAGUCACAGGUGGAGGCAUCUGUCCCUGGCAGGAAGCAGUCACAGAGAUUGCAGUGAGGGUAGUUCCAGUGACCUCGAUUACACUCUGAACAUUUUGCACCAGAGAAUUUUGGGUGACACUUGCACUGGCCUGUGUUCACAUUGCACUGGAAAUCCAAGGAGCCCACCAUGCUGCAAUUACAAGCCUACAGAGGAGAGAAAGACAGUGACUGUUAAUACAGCUUCAUAGGAAAUAUCUUCAACUUUAAUCUUAAUGCUCCUAGGCUUUAUUCAAACACAUAACAAUCCUGUAUCUAUCAUAUGCUUUGUACUAUUUGUUUUAGUUACUUGGGAAACAUCAGUAGAUCCAAAAGUUAAAAUUGCUCCUUCCAUUUAUACAAAUAGAAAUAAUAAUGCUAUGUGAAUAAGAAGAAAUGUAUUUAUUUCUGUCUUUCCAUAGUGGGGAAGGGUUAGAUAUGGGUUUUCUUCAAAUACUUUUUGCUUCAAAGAGUAUACUUCAGACAACCAAAUUUCAUUUCAUAUUCACUACACAUUGAUUCACUACUGAAGCAUGAAAGUUCUAUGGGAGCAUACCUAUGUCCAGUGGAGGGAGACCAAUAAAUACAUAUUAUAACAUGACAGAAUAAGCACUAUACAAUGGAAAAUGGUAUGAGAACAUAAGAGGAGAAGCAAUCCAGAUGCAGAGAAGCCAGGGAGACCUUCAAGACUUGACAUCUUAUUUAUUGGUUUUUGAAGUUUAGCUUUGCAGACAGCCCAGAUUUGAGGAAAUUGACUGGUGACCUCUGUUCUUCACCUCAGUUGUAUGCAUUAUUUUCAGUUUGUUUAUGUAAUGCAAAUUUUUGCUCAAUAUUUUAAAAAUUUGAGGGUAUUCAUUAAUUUACCAGAACAUGGUGAGUUCUUUCAGUUUGAGAAAUAAUAAUGAAAAAAUAAUAAUAGUAAUUAUUAUUAUUAUUAUUAGGUACUGGGGUUUAAACUCAGGAGCACUAAAACACUGUGUCACAAACCCAGUCCUUUAUUGUAUUUUAUUUAGAGAGAGGGUCUCACUGAGUUGCUUAGUGCCUUGUUGAACUGCUGAGUCUGGCUUUCAACCCUUGAUCCUCCUGCCUCAUUCUCCUGAGUCGUUGGAAUUACAGUGCAAAAUUGUUUUUGAUGCAAAUUUGACUCUUAUUCUGAUGUAUUGUUGAUAUUUUUAUCUGUUCUAUUUUAUUAAUUUUUUUUCUUCAGGAUCAACUAUAAUUCUUAAAGGACAUUACUUUUAUCUGUCUGUCAAAUCUAAUCUCCUAAUGUCUUCCCUAAUCCUCUUCCUUCCUUUACCUUUCUAGUUGUAUUGACAUUUCAAAUUUGUUCCCCAUUUUUUCAGUUCCUGUUUUAUAUAAUGAGAACUUUCUGGUAUGUCUAUAGCACCAAUGCAUGUUUUAAUUAAAAUUGCAGUUUUAUCUUCUUUUGAAUAAUUUCUUUUGCAUUUCACUCAUUUUCAAUUUCUGAUCUCCCAGUUAUCCUUUUGUCUUACAUUCUUAAGAGUUUCUGCUCUUGAUCUAGAGUUCAUAUCUCUUGACAUUUAGUGAAAAUUCCAGUGGGUUCCUAACAAGUCAUUUAGAAUCUUGGAAUAAAUCAUUUUCAGGGGCCAUUUGUGCCACUUGUCAAACUACAGGCUCUAGCUCCAAAUCCACCCUGCUUUACUGUCAAGAGACUGUAGAAAUAUCUCUAAGGCCAGGUUGCAGUGUGUCAGGCUUUGCCAAUGAAGGCCCUGAAAAGAUCCAAAGAGGUCCAAGAAACUUCCAUCCUGUUUGUGUUUCUUUAUUAAUAUUGUUACCAUUUACCAUUAUUAUUUUAUUAUUUAGUACAGAUUCCUAGAGGCCCUGAAGUUAUCCCAGCUGUGCCUUCAGGCCACUCUCCCCCAUAGGCACCUUUCUCAAUGGCUUCACUCCGCAUCAUACAACUCUGAGAUGAUACUGCUUCUGAGUAGCUCCUGCAUGUCUAUACUCCCCCAAAAUGGUACUGCUUCCAAAGAUGAGCACUUGCCCACUAACUCUGGUGAUUUGCUUUUUUUUUUUUUCAAUGACAAGUAGGCUGUUGAUACCUGUGGUUUCUACACCCUCCUUUGAAUGUCAGCCUCACCAGGGUGAGGGGUGUGCUCCCUCCUAGCCCUCAGUUCCUUUAGUGUCCACUCUCUCUUGGCUGACAGAUGGUAGCUGCUCUUUUCUACAUGCUAUGUCAAGAACUUUAAUAACUCUUUUAUUAUUUUUAAAUUAGUAAUUACCUUUUUUUCAGUUAACCAUUAUUUAUAUACAAAUUUCCCUAUUUACAGAAACUGUGUGGUUUCUCUCUCCCGACUGGGGCCUGAGUUGGUACUCAAAUGAGACUCACACCUCUCUGUCUGACUUUACCACCAUAUGGUGUUUAUGCUUUGUGACCUCACUUUAUCAUCCUUCUCAGAUCUACAGCUCUAAUGCAGAACCAAGUCUGGCUCCCACUUCAUUGCUCAGCUUAAUUCUUCUAUCCACUGUCAAUGGGGACAUCCCUGCUUCUGUUCCUCCUAAUAAUAGCUUACUUAGAAGACUACUCUUUUUAGGAUGUAACACACAAUCAUCAGUUUCUCUUGUGUUGUCUUUUUCUGCUCAAAUGUUUGGUGACAAAUCUUCUGAGACUCUGAUAUGAAAACAAUCAGGCUUUACUUUGCAUGUUUUACAGUAUUUUUCUAUCUCUUCAUUGCUAUGGAGGAAAAAGGCUGCAAUAGAGAUGGCUACUAAAGUUAUUUUAAACCAAAAGUUCCAAAAUUAUUUGUUAUAUUUCAAACAUGGGCAUAACCCAUUGUAAUAACCCCCAAGUAACUCAUCUUUGUAGAACAUCAGAGGUAGAAUGAAGUUUCAAAAUUAUGAUGGUUUACUAAUUAAUUCAUAUAAUUUUUUCUUGCCAAUUGCAUUAAAUAUGUAUCGAUUCACUUAAACAAGAUGAGCCAUAGUUAGAAACAAAAGUAUGAUAUGGUAUGGAAAACUACAGUUGUAGUUUUAAAAGUCCUUUGAAACAUACAUAUCUUUAAAUAAUAAAAAUAGAAAAUGUCUGCUCCUGAAUUUAUUGUUCAAAACCAUAGACAGAACAAAUACUUGAGGAAGAAUUGAGAGUAGACAGUGGGACCUGUCCAAAUCAGGAAGUUUAUUUGGGAAGCUAGAGUGGGGAAUAAAUGAGGCUAUUAACUAUAUGCAUAGAUAACAUGAUAUUAACAUCAAACUUAAAUAAUAAUUAAAUGUAAUGUUUGUUUAGCAAUAAAGGAUUUAUUCACUA